GCAGUGGUGGCGUCUUUUAUUUUAAAGCAGCCUGAGUUGUUAGUGACCGGACAAGCUACAGUUCCGGCUAUGUUUGUGCUGGGAGACUCAUUGGUCGAUGUUGGGAACAACAACUUUCUAGCAUCCGUGGCUCGAGCCAAUUACUUACCUUAUGGCAUAGACUUAAACUUCCGUCCUACUGGCAGGUUUAGCAACGGCAUGAACUUCGUUGAUUUGCUUGGUAACAUUUUAGACACUUUCUCUGUCAAAAAUCAGUUUAAUUUUAGCAUAACUCUCCUCUUACUGACACUGUUCCGAAAAAAAAAAAACAGCUCAGUUGUUAGGAAUCUCGUCGCCUCCUCCCUUUGCGGAUCCAACCACAUGGGGCACUAGAAUCCUUGGAGGAGUUAACUAUGCUUCUGCAGCUGGUGGCAUCCUCGAUGAAUCAGGACAACACUAUGUAAUUUUCUGAGUUUUGUUUCCUCACUUAUGAUGUAAGUGUUAGUAUAGUGUUGAUAGAGGCUUUUAAUGUGCAGGGAGACAGAUUCAGCCUGAGCCAGCAAGUGGUGAACCUAGAGGGGACGCUGAGCCAGUUGAGAACAAUGAUGAGUCCCCAAAACUUUACUGAUUACUUGAAAAAAUCGCUGGUGGUUCUCGUUUUUGGAAGCAAUGACUAUCUCAACAACUACCUUAUGCCUAAUCUCUACUCAUCCAGCUUCAGAUACAAACCGCCUGAGUUCGCCAAUCUACUUAUCAAUCAAUACGCUCGACAACUUCUUGUAUGCCAACAUCAAAAUCUUCAUAUACAGUAUCAUUUCAAUGAACCUUCUGAUAAUCAUUUUGAAACUAUUGUGUAGACUCUAUACAGCCUAGGUCUAAGGAAAGUGUUCAUAGCUGGAGUAGGACCACUAGGCUGCAUACCAAACCAAAGAGCCACUGCACCACCCGGGAGAUGCGUUGAUAGUGUGAACCAGAUUCUAGGCACAUUUAACCAAGGGCUAAGAUCACUUGUUGACCAGCUGAACCAGCGUUCACCUGGUGCUAUCUAUGUAUAUGGCAACACAUAUCGCGCAGUUGGUGAUAUCUUAAACAACCCAGCUACUUACGGUAUUAACCUCCUCCUAGAUUACAUUGCUGAUGAUAAACGGAGUUUCUAUGAGUAUCAAAAGAGGCUUAUGUAUUGUACAGGAUUCAGCAUAGCGGACAGGGCUUGUUGCGGAACAGGUAGGAACCAAGGACAGAUCACAUGUUUGCCGUUGCAGAAUCCUUGUCCUAACAGGUCACAGUACGUCUUUUGGGAUGCAUUCCAUCCUACUCAGACUGCAAACUCCAUUCUGGUCAGACGAGCUUUCUACGGCCCACCUACCGACGCUUAUCCUGUUAAUGUCCAACAGAUGACUCUCCUUCCCUAGUUGUUUCUUUUUUUCUCUGUGUUUAUAAGUCUUAAAAGUUGUGUGUUAUGAUACUUGAACCUGACUAUUAAGCUGAAAACCAAAAGGCUUUUACCGUAAAAUAACAUAGAAGUGCUAAUGACAACGGGAAGAAGCCCCAAAAUUAGAAGUAGUCUUAGAGAGGACAUGUUAAAAUUCAAGAACAGAGCAUACUAAGUUUUGUAUUACGCCAAACUUCAGACAAAAGAACACAAUGCAUUGUCAAUUUACUCCAUUCCUACUCCCAAAUCAGUCUUUACUCUUUACCCCACUCCAGCUCCAACUGCAUCGGAUCAGCCUUUGGAAGUGAAGCAAUCCCCUGCGCUGCAAUGCCAACGUCACCUCCUGUUAUCCGAUCCCAGCCUAGGAUGUGUGGAAGGGCAAACUGCACAUAAUACAAAAGCUGGUUUUAGAAAAAAAAACACAAACAGCUCUUCCUUAAGAUAAGAGAACAAUGAGAGAGCAGAAAAUUGAAAUCAUAUCUUACACUAAAAGCACUCUUCAGCACUGCAAAUUCAGCUUUGGAGACAGGAACCACAAUACGGUCAUUACUGUUUUGGAUGUUGUCGGUUACGCCUGCAAUAAUACCGCAGAAGUUAAGUGUUUUUGUACAUCAUUCCUAUUAUGAGAAGAAAACGCCUUAAAACUACUAUUUUACAAAACCAAAACAAGUGAGAGAAUUCUCCAACAAGUCAAGAUUUCAUUAGUAUUUAGACUGGCUCCACCAUUAGUUAGACCAAUACUGUGUAGAAGAAGGCCUUACUCAAUUGGAAGAAGUAGCCGGUAGAAUCUGCGAGUGGCUUGAUCGACAGUGACUUCCUGACUUGACCAGCAUUACUGAGAGGAAACAAAGAUCAUCAGAAGAUGAUUUUUUUUUCUGAAUUAAGCACACAUAUGCAACAAGUAAGCAAAUAACAAAACCUUGAUUUCAUGGAAGGGUCAUGGAAAAACUCAGAGCUGUCCUGGGGACCCAUGCUGAUCACAGAUCCAACUUCAGUAGGUGACAAAGCAAACAACUACAUCAACAAACAAGGAAGCAAACAGAAUCACAUAUAUAAGACAAAAAGGAUAUGAGUGAAGGUAUAUAAGUAUUAGACAAAGACCUGUUUCUUCUCCCAGUCGUACUUGCGCUCACUAACAGCAGGCAUAAAAGUCAUCAUCACAGAUCCACGACGAUCUAUCCUCAGAUUCCCAGGCUAAAACAUCAUUGUACACAGUAAGUGACGAGAAUCUCCAAAGCCUUAAAAGAAAAUCACACAAAAGGGGUUUUCGAAACCUCGAUUUUGGUGAAAGUGGGGAGGACAGGUUCAACAGAGAGUGCAGCUCUUCCUUUGAAGAUAGCGUACGGUGCGAACACACGACCACUAGGCUUAGCAUCAGCUUUGAAACAAAAGGGAAACAAAUUAGGGCAAAAAACUCAAAACAGAGACGAAAAGGAGAGCAAAGGAAGUAACUUUACCACGUUUGGUGGUAGAGGAAUCAACCCAGGUUGCGAAACCACGAAACGCCAAAGACCUAGAGCUUCCUUCGAAAAGUGAGUUGCUUUGGUUGCAAAGGCUCCUGCUUUUAGCAAAGAAAACAACAACAAAGAGGUCAUUUGAGAGAAAUGGGUUAAAAAUAAAUUAUUCUCUGGUUGGUAAAAUGUAUAUGGCAAGUACAGAGCUCUGUAGAUGUUAAAUCAAUAUUUAUCUGUAUGAAUCUCACGAAUUAGUUACUAGUUUAGCUAUUUAAGAGAUCAUUAUCCGUUGCACAGUUACAGUCGCAGAUAAUCUUCUCUCAUUACUUUCUUGAUCUUUAUCUGAAGAGGGUGAGAAAGUGCGUCAUGGUCUUUGUCUUAGCAUAUGCAAUUGUGGUUUCUUGUGAAAUUUCAAACGUGGUGCAAGCUUAUUGACUCGUUUUACAUGCAAGCAGCCGAAAACAAAAGAGAACCGUUACAAAAAUUGAAACGUAUUAACUCCUAUGUGUCACAUGCAGCAUGUUUCGCAUUAAACUUUAUAUAGUAAACAUUCCAUGCGUUCUAACUUGAAAACGAACACAAACUCAAAAAAGAUGAGAAUCCAAGGUAGAGGAUAUGCGUUUAUAGUUGCAGUGGUGGCGUCUUUUAUUUUAAAGCAGCCUGAGUUGUUAGUGACCGGACAAGCUACAGUUCCGGCUAUGUUUGUGCUGGGAGACUCAUUGGUCGAUGUUGGGAACAACAACUUUCUAGCAUCCGUGGCUCGAGCCAAUUACUUACCUUAUGGCAUAGACUUAAACUUCCGUCCUACUGGCAGGUUUAGCAACGGCAUGAACUUCGUUGAUUUGCUUGGUAACAUUUUAGACACUUUCUCUGUCAAAAAUCAGUUUAAUUUUAGCAUAACU
rnacentral:lncRNA from 1 species